rnacentral:rRNA from 1 species
CCUACGGGAGGCAGCAGUGAGGAAUAUUGGUCAAUGGGCGGGAGCCUGAACCAGCCAAGUCGCGUGAAGGAUGACGGCCCUACGGGUUGUAAACUUCUUUUGUCAGGGGACAAAUUGAUCCACGCGUGGCCUUAGGGAGAGUAUCUGAAGAAAAAGCAUCGGCUAACCCCGUGCCAGCAGCCGCGGUAAUACGGAGGAUGCGAGCGUUAUCCGGAUUUUUUGGGUUUAAAGGGUGCGUAGGCGGAAUAUCAAGUCAGCGGUAAAGAUUCGGGGCUCAACCCCGUCGAGCCGUUGAAACUGAUGGUCUUGAGUGGGCGAGAAGUAUGCGGAAUGCGUGGUGUAGCGGUGAAAUGCAUAGAUAUUACGCAGAACUCCGAUUGCGAAGGCAGCAUACCGGCGCCCAACUGACGCUGAAGCACGAAAGCGUGGGUAUCGAACAGGAUUAGAUACCCCAGUAGUC